rnacentral:rRNA from 1 species
UACGAAGGGGGCUAGCGUUGCUCGGAAUUACUGGGCGUAAAGCGCACGUAGGCGGCUUUCUAAGUCGGGGGUGAAAUCCUGGAGCUCAACUCCAGAACUGCCUUCGAUACUGGAGAGCUUGAGUCCGGGAGAGGUGAGUGGAACUGCAAGUGUAGAGGUGAAAUUCGUAGAUAUUCGCAAGAACACCAGUGGCGAAGGCGGCUCACUGGCCCGGUACUGACGCUGAGGUGCGAAAGCGUGGGGAGCAAACAGG